GUUCACUUCAGCAGCACAUACACUAAAACUGGACUGAUACAGAGAAGAGGAGCAUGACUCCUGAAUAAGAACAACACACAAACUUGUGAAGCAUUUCACAUUUUU